GAGUGUGACCGAACCUGGUCUUCUUGGGGAUGCUGGUGACCUAGAAAUUCGAAUCAAACCUGACCCUGUCAAUGGGACCAUCACUAUAAGGGAUACUGGAAUUGGGAUGACCAAAGAUGAACUUAUAGACUGUCUUGGAACUAUUGCCCAGAGUGGUACUUCUAAGUUCUUGAAAGCUCUUAAGGAAAACAAGGAUGUUGGAGCUGACAACAGUUUAAUUGGUCAAUUUGUAGUUGGUUUCUAUUCUGCAUUUUUGGUAG